rnacentral:rRNA from 1 species
GACGAACGCUGGCGGCGUGCUUAACACAUGCAAGUCGAACGGUAAGGCCCUUCGGGGUACACGAGUGGCGAACGGGUGAGUAACACGUGGGUGAUCUACCCUGCACUUCGGGAUAAGCCUGGGAAACUGGGUCUAAUACCGGAUAGGACCACUGCCUGCAUGGGUGGUGGUGGAAAGCUGUUGCGGUGUGGGAUGGGCCCGCGGCCUAUCAGCUUGUUGGUGGGGUGAUGGCCUACCAAGGCGACGACGGGUAGCCGGCCUGAGAGGGGGACCGGCCACACUGGGACUGAGAUACGGCCCAGACUCCUACGGGAGGCAGCAGUGGGGAAUAUUGCACAAUGGGCGCAAGCCUGAUGCAGCGACGCCGCGUGAGGGAUGACGGCCUUCGGGUUGUAAACCUCUUUCAGCACCGACGAAGCGCAAGUGACGGUAGGUGCAGAAGAAGGACCGGCCAACUACGUGCCAGCAGCCGCCGUAA